rnacentral:rRNA from 1 species
CCCUUAGAUGUUCUGGGCUGCACGCGUGCUACAAUGGCGCUUGCAACAAGUCUUGCCAACCCGAUAGGGUGAGCGGAUCUUUGAAGAGGCGUCGUGAUCGGGACAGUUGAUUGCAAUUAUUCGACUCGAACGAGGAAUUCCUUGUAAUCGCGAUUCAUCAUAUCGCGCUGAAUACGUCCCUGCCCUUUGUACACACCGCCCGUCGCUCCUACCGAUUGGGUGAGCCGAUGAAACUCUCGGAUGUAGGCUAUUCAUAGCCCGCAGAAGAGAUUUGAAUCGUAGCGCUUAGAGGAAGGAGAAGUCGUAACA